rnacentral:rRNA from 1 species
GACGAACGCUGGCGGCGUGCUUAACACAUGCAAGUCGAGCGGUAAGGCCCUUUCGGGGGUACACGAGCGGCGAACGGGUGAGUAACACGUGGGUGACCUGCCCUCAGCUCUGGGAUAAGCCCGGGAAACUGGGUCUAAUACUGGAUAUGACUCCACGGUGCAUGUCGUGGGGUGGAAAGCCUUGUGCGGCUGAGGAUGGGCCCGCGGCCUAUCAGCUUGUUGGUGGGGUGAUGGCCUACCAAGGCGACGACGGGUAGCCGGCCUGAGAGGGCGACCGGCCACACUGGGACUGAGACACGGCCCAGACUCCUACGGGAGGCAGCAGUGGGGAAUCUUGCGCAAUGGGCGAAAGCCUGACGCAGCGACGCCGCGUGAGGGAUGACGGCCUGGUGUAAC